rnacentral:rRNA from 1 species
AGAGUUGAUCAUGGCUCAGGAUGAACGCUAGCGACAGGCUUAACACAUGCAAGUCGAGGGGCAGCAUAGAAGUAGCAAUACUUGGUGGCGACCGGCGCACGGGUGAGUAACGCGUAUGCAACCUACCUAUCAGAGGGGAAUAACCCGGCGAAAGUCGGACUAAUACCGCAUAAAACAGGGGCACCGCAUGGUGAUAUUUGUUAAAGAAAUUCGCUGAUAGAUGGGCAUGCGUUCCAUUAGGUAGUUGGUGAGGUAACGGCUCACCAAGCCGACGAUGGAUAGGGGAACUGAGAGGUUGGUCCCCCACACUGGUACUGAGACACGGACCAGACUCCUACGGGAGGCAGCAGUGAGGAAUAUUGGUCAAUGGGCGGGAGCCUGAACCAGCCAAGUCGCGUGAAGGAAGAAGGAUCUAUGGUUCGUAAACUUCUUUUGCAGGGGAAUAAAGUGCAGGACGUGUCCUGUUUUGUAUGUACCCUGAGAAUAAGGAUCGGCUAACUCCGUGCCAGCAGCGGC